rnacentral:rRNA from 5 species
AGGGGGAUAACUACUGGAAACGGUAGCUAAUACCGCAUGACCUCGCAAGAGCAAAGUGGGGGACCUUCGGGCCUCACGCCAUCGGAUGUGCCCAGAUGGGAUUAGCUAGUAGGUGAGGUAAUGGCUCACCUAGGCGACGAUCCCUAGCUGGUCUGAGAGGAUGACCAGCCACACUGGAACUGAGACACGGUCCAGACUCCUACGGGAGGCAGCAGUGGGGAAUAUUGCACAAUGGGCGCAAGCCUGAUGCAGCCAUGCCGCGUGUGUGAAGAAGGCCUUAGGGUUGUAAAGCACUUUCAGCGAGGAGGAAGGGUUCAGUGUUAAUAGCACUGAACAUUGACGUUACUCGCAGAAGAAGCACCGGCUAACUCCGUGCCAGCAGCCGCGGUAAUACGGAGGGUGCAAGCGUUAAUCGGAAUUACUGGGCGUAAAGCGCACGCAGGCGGUUUGUUAAGUCAGAUGUGAAAUCCCCGAGCUUAACUUGGGAACUGCAUUUGAAACUGGCAAGCUAGAGUCUUGUAGAGGGGGGUAGAAUUCCAGGUGUAGCGGUGAAAUGCGUA